rnacentral:rRNA from 1 species
CCUACGGGAGGCAGCAGUGAGGAAUAUUGGUCAAUGGGCGCUAGCCUGAACCAGCCAAGUAGCGUGAAGGAUGACUGCCCUAUGGGUUGUAAACUUCUUUUAUAUGGGAAUAAAGUGCAGUAUGUAUACUGCUUUGCAUGUACCUUAUGAAUAAGGAUCGGCUAACUCCGUGCCAGCAGCCGCGGUAAUACGGAGGAUGCGAGCGUUAUCCGGAUUUAUUGGGUUUAAAGGGUGCGUAGGCGGAGUGUCAAGUCAGCGGUAAAAUUUCGGGGCUCAACCCCGUCGUGCCGUUGAAACUGACGCCCUUGAGUGAGUGAGAAGUAAGCGGAAUGCGUGGUGUAGCGGUGAAAUGCAUAGAUAUCACGCAGAACGCCGAUUGCGAAGGCAGCUUACCGGCGCUCAACUGACGCUGAGGCACGAAAGUGCGGGUAUCGAACAGGAUUAGAUACCCUGGUAGUC